rnacentral:rRNA from 1 species
GAUGAACGCUAGCUACAGGCUUAACACAUGCAAGUCGAGGGGCAGCGGUAUCGAAAGCUUGCCUUCGGUAGCCGGCGACCGGCGCACGGGUGAGUAACGCGUAUCGAACCUGCCUCAUACUCGGGAAUAGCCUUGCGAAAGUAAGAUUAAUGCCCGGUGUUUUCAGAGUCCCGCAUGAGGCUUUGAACAAAGAUUUAUCGGUAUGAGAUGGCGAUGCGUCCCAUUAGCUUGUUGGCGGGGUAACGGCCCACCAAGGCAUCGAUGGGUAGGGGUUCUGAGAGGAAGGUCCCCCACAUUGGAACUGAGACACCGUCCAAACUCCUACGGGAGGCAGCAGUGAGGAAUAUUGGUCAAUGGGCGGAAGCCUGAACCAGCCAAGUAGCGUGCAGGAAGACGGCCCUCCGGGUUGUAAACUGCUUUUAGUUGGGAAUAAAACGGGGCUCGUGAGCCCCCUUGCAUGUACCAUCAGAAAAAGGACCGGCUAAUUCCGUGCCAGCCGCCGCCGUAA